rnacentral:ribozyme from 13 species
CUCUCUUUUUCUCUCGAUCCUUCUUUUCUCUUCUCUCACUUCUUCUCUCUCCUUUUUGGGAAGACUUCCCAAAAAAAACUGAGGAUGUCUCAC